CUUAAAAAACCUUUCUGCUAGUAAAUCAAAAAAAGUCUUACAAGUCAAAGACACUUCAUCUGACUAUUUUAUAUAUUUAUAUGCUUUAUAUACACAUUGCUGCUGUGCUUGGAGUAUAAAGUCACCUUUUGAUUAUAUCGAACGGGCAGUUUCUCAACUGGCUCAAAUGCUAGGGGCAGAUGUUACAUCAUGAUGACUGUGCGAAAUGCAUGGUGAAUAUGCAAUACUAUGGAUAACAGCUGAAUGUCUACCUGAAAAUACAGUCUCUGUAUGGAGGGCCUGGCCAAAAGUAGCCGACUCAACAGACAAGGCUCUAGAGUAAGGCGCCAUCGGAGCCAGGAAUGGCAGGACUAU